CACCAUGUAAGAUGCGCCUUUGCUCCUCCUUUGCCUUCUGCCGUGAUUGUGAGGCCUCCCCAGCCAUGUGGAACUAUGAGAUGAAGAAUGAAGUGAAAGAUAACCCUACAAGAUUUUAAGGUAAGGUUCUUAAAAGUUAGGGAGACAUUUGUGUGGGAAGAAAUCUUGAUGUCAGAACCUCAAUGAAGACGUAAGAAUCAUGGAUCUCUUAUAGGCAAGACUGAAGAACCUUAUGGCUGAUGAAAAGUUUAGCACAAGUUCUUUAUGAAGUCAUCUUUGCAAAUGUAGACCCUGUCUUCUGCAUCCUGUAACCACACAUUUUUAUUGUUGUUGUUGGAUCCAUUUGGCACUGAUCAUAUACUAUGUUGGGAGGGCUCUUCAUGCAAGUCCAUUUAGUAAAAAUUUACAUGAUGGGAAAUGAGGAAUAAACUACUGCUUUUCUGCAUCAUGAAAUCCAUGUACUGUUUUAUGCAGCUGUAAAAUAGAUGACUGCUUUCCAUAAUCCACAUGGAUGCCAAGCACAUCUACAUAGUACCCACUUGCUCCCAAGUGUUAAGAAUCACACUUGAGCAAGCACUGGGAAGAGGAAUCUGAAUUCAUGUUCCUUAAAGACGUAUCUGGCCUCUGUUCUCUAGCAGAAUCCUGCUCUGGGAAUGGAAAUGUACAUUCUCGAGAAUGCCUGAUUGUUAGGAGGCAAGCCAAUUUUAUUAAAACCAUUUUUGUCUCCCUCUUGCUUAAAAUAAAUAAAAACAUGAUUUCAA